rnacentral:lncRNA from 1 species
AAGCAGAUUGGAAAAUUCCAUGGUAUUAUAUUGUUGCUGGAAUUGGAUGCCUCAUUCUGCUGGUGAUCACAUGUAGCCUUAUUCAUGAAUUCAGAGGUGAACAAAUCUCAACAUUAUACAUUAUUUAUCUGUUGCUUGUCUAUCGUAGCAUAAUUUGUCUGAAAAAUACUGUGUAAAAAACAGUUUCUUCACUUCUGCAGGACUGUAUGUAAAGAAAUCGACUGAAUCUUAUGACGUCAACUCCUCACAAAAUGAGGGUGAGCAUUUUUUGCCAUUCAAGCAGCUGAAAAAAUGCACUAAUAUUUAUUCAGUAAAAUGCUGAUUUUUUCUGAUUUUAUCACAUUAUCAGCAGCUAAUCCUUCUGGAAACAGACGCAAUGAGAGAGCAAGACGAAAUGAGAACGGCGCGACAGAAGAGGAUGAUGGCCACUAUGAAGACAUGCACGGAGACGAGCACGACAAAGAUUAUGAAACCAUGCAGGAGCACAUCGGCCAACACGAAGAUUCAGACAGAGAUGAAGAGGAGGACUAUGUAAACACUGAGAGGGGACAGGGGGAAGGCCAGUACAUCAAUUCUGAGAGGUCAGAUCCUCGCGGACACCGUGCACAGAGAGAAAAUGACCAUCACGACCCCAGCGGACUUCAGAUAAGAUCACAACCUCAAAACAGGGGUAAAGGCUAUUUUUGUAUCAGUAUAGUGAAUAUGAGUUUACAGUGAGACGAGUAGACAGAUGACUAAUGUUUCUUUGUUAUCUUUAGACUUAAGUGAAACACAAAGUCAGCCACACUCGAGAGCACCGUACUAUGGUAGGUCUUUUUAUUCUCUACAGCCAUGAUAACAGUGAAUGGUGCAAAUAGUAGUAAAACUGUUUCAUCAACUGACUUAAAUUUCUGUCCUUAAAUCUAACAGUGAACCAGACAGAAUUCAGCAAUCCUGGAGGCGCUGCCAAAAGAAAACAACCCCGUAAGAAAAAGAAACCUCGUAAGUAUUGUUUCAAUUUCCCUAAUACUAUCUACUAUCAAUAUUUUUAACUAUAGUAUGAAUCUGUUACUGUUAGGCUGUGGUUACAUAAGACAUUGGCAGUCUUUGUAGCCUUGGAAAAUGGGUGAGGCUGAAGCCUAAAAGCCUAUUAUUUUGUUUCUAAACUGAAAGCAGAAGCAUUUCUGAGUGGAGAAGAAUAUGGAUAAAAUCUUGUGUUUAAUGCUACCAGUGUGCUGAAACAACCAUCCCUGCUAAGCCCCUGCUAAUAUAUUCAUUCUAAAAACUGGGGUGUCGGGUCGCUUUUCAAGGGAGUUCUUCUUCUGGCCACGUCACGUGUCUUUACGUUCUUAUGUCACACGUACAGCCUCUAAAAGAGGAUCCGGCUCAGUUUUACGGAAAGCCAGCGGCUGGUGGAGCAAUGGAGACUUCAGAAGAGGAACCUCAGACCUCAGUAGCUCAUUCACUCACAGUAAAACCAAAGUGUGUAGUUGAAGUGAAGUUUCUGACUAAGCGCUCUCUCUCUCUCUAUCUGACUGAACCGCUUUACACCCGCCCAGUUUAAAAUGAUUUUUCCGCAUGCUUGGUGCAAUUACCCAUUCUCACCAGAGAGUCCCAAAACUUACAGACAUCAGCUUUACCUGCUACCUUGGAGGUGUACACUAGAUCUAAAUUGACACCACUCAUACUUUUGAGAUGCAACAGGACAAUGACCAAAAACACUUGAGAAAGUUCACAACAGAGUGGCCAAUCAGAGCUCAGAAUUGAAGAGAGUCAUGCACUCAGCGAAUAAGAUAGAGCUAAAGCAGUUCUGCCAGGGAUAAUGGGCUAAAAUUCAAUUGUAUUUCUUUCUACUACUAAUACUACUAUUUACUGUACCUAUUGAACCGAACCUCUCCCUAUAUAGCUAACACUAAAGAGGAAAUAGGGAUUCAUUUUGGUCGCAGCCCAAAAGCCACCAAAAGUUCUCAAUUUUGUUGCUGCUAGCACACUAAUGUUAGCUAACUUGCCAACCAAAACAGUAAAAACUUAAAUAAAUAAAAACAUAAUAAUAAUUGUAUCCA